GAGUAGCUGGGAUUACAGGCGCGCGCCACCACACCCGGCUAAUUUUUGUAUUUGUUUAGUAGAGACCGCGGUUUCACCAAGUUGGCCAGGCUGGUCUCCAACGUCUGACCUCAGGCGAUCCACCCGCCUGGGCCUCCCAAAAUGCUGAGAUUACAGGCGUGAGACACAGCGCCUGGCCGGAAAGUGGCUAUUUUAAGAAGAUUGAGAAUAUGUUUCGUGGGGUCGCAUUAUUCUGCGUGACGAGGCUCACAGAGGAGAACCCCACCCUUACUCCAAAGGCCUUUGAAAGCAGCUCUGGAAAGGGUAGGUGCGGGGACCACUCGGCCACCCAGCCAGCACCGCGGCACUCGCCGCCGCCUCCUCGACGCCUGGCUGCACAAGGUGGGGGGUCCUGGCCGUCCGCCAGCUUCUGCAACCGUCUAGCAGAGCCGCCGCAGUUCGGAGCCCACGCGGGCCAAACCACCCGCGCCUGCGGGCUCUCGGGCGCCACGGAGAGGCGGCGCCACCUUGGGGGACCUCUGGCCGAGGCGCCACGCGACAGUUGAGGCGCCAGAUGUGAGUUGAGGUGCCAGACUUGAGUUGAGGUGCCAGACGUGGCGGCUUUGGGUACCCAGGACCCUUGGACGGGUCUGCUGCAGCUCGCUGGGGGUCCACUCCAGACCCUGUUCGCCUGGGUAUCACCAGUGGAGGCUGCAGAACAGCAAAGAUUGCUGCCUGCUCCUUCCUCCAGAAGCUUCUUCCCAGAGUGGCACCAACCUGAUUGAUGUCAGCGGGAAUUCUCCUGCAUGAGGUGUCUGGCAACCCCGAUGGGACGUCUCACCCAGUCAAGAAGCACGGGAUUGGAUCGGGGACCUCCUUAUGGAGGCAGACUGACUGUCCCUUAGCAGAGCUGGUGCACUGUGCUGGAGGAAUAGCCCUCAUUGGGAUCAGCUGUUCUCUUCAGAGCCAGCAGGCAGGAAAGAUUAAGUCUGCUGAACCUGGGGCCAUGGCCGCCCCUCGCCCGAGGUGCUCUGUCCCAGGGAGAUAAGAGUUCUGUCUGUAAGCCCCUGACUGUAGCUGCUGGAAUUCCUGCAGGGAUGCCCUGCCCGGUGAGGGGGGAUGGCUUCAGGUCCCACCUAGGAAGCAGUCUGGCCACGAUCUGCAACAGCCACUUUGCUGUUUUGUGGGGAAUUCCACCCAAUCCAAAUGUCCUAGUCUCCUUAGCACUCUCAGGGGAAAACCUCCAACUAAAGCCUCAGUAAUGACGGUUGCCCCUCGCCCUGGGAACUGAGUUGUCCCAGGCUGACUCCAUACUGCUGUGCCAGCAGCGAGGAUUUCAAGCCAGUGGGUCUUAGCUGGCGGGGUUUCCGUGGGAGUGGGACCCUCCGAGUGAGACCACUUGGCUGCCUGGCUACAGCCCCCUUUCCACAGAAGUGGACAUUUCUCCUGCCUCACUGGAGUUCCAGGUGCUGCUGGAGUAUGUAAAAACUCCUGCAGCUCAGCGCCUGCCCAAACAGCCGUCAACAGGCGCAGCUGUCAUUGGUCUGCCCAAUUUUGUGUUUGAGACCCAGGGCCCUGGUGGUAUAGUCUCCCGAGGGGAUCUCCUGAUCUGCGGAUUGCAAAAGUCUGUGGGAAAAGCUUAGUACCCUUGGUGGGUAGCACUGUCCCUCACCACUUCCCUUGACUGGGGAGGGAGGUCCCCCUGCCCUGUGCAGUUCCUGGGUGAAGCAAUACCCUGCUUCUUCUCGCUCUCUGUGGGUCAUGCCGACCAUCUAGUCAGUCCCAAUGAGAUGAACUGGGUAUCUCAGUUGGAAAUGCAGAAAUCACCCACCCUCCUCGUUCCUCUCGCUGGCAGCUGAAGACUAGAGCUGCUUCUAGUCAGCCAUCUUGUCCCCUCCCCGCCAAGGUAAGUUUAAUAAGUCUUCUAAAUUUGUCCUUGCCAUAAUGAUCAGUGAUGAUCUGUGUUUUAAUAAGUUAAAUGCUUUCCAGACUUCAAGACUCUCACUAACAUCAAAAAUAAAAUUAAAUAUUGGCCAUAUUACCAGGAUUUUAGAAUGUUGUAUUUUAUCCUCUAAUUAUAGGUCAAAUAACUAAGGUAGAAAGGAGUAAAGCAACUUCCAUGUAUGUAGUGAGGAUGUUGGGGGGUCUGGGACUAAAAUUCUGCCUUGGGAUUCCCAGGAGUUGGUGAUUAUGAUUUUUGUACUCUUAGAAACAAAAAAAAAAAACAUUCUAUUUUGUUC
rnacentral:lncRNA from 1 species